AGUGAACGCUGGCGGUAGGCCUAACACAUGCAAGUCGAACGGCAGCACAGUAAGAGCUUGCUCUUACGGGUGGCGAGUGGCGGACGGGUGAGGAAUACAUCGGAAUCUACUUUUUCGUGGGGGAUAACGUAGGGAAACUUACGCUAAUACCGCAUACGACCUACGGGUGAAAGCAGUGGAUCUUCGGACCUUGCGCGAUUGAAUGAGCCGAUGUCGGAUUAGCUAGUUGGCGGGGUAAAGGCCCACCAAGGCGACGAUCCGUAGCUGGUCUGAGAGGAUGAUCAGCCACACUGGAACUGAGACACGGUCCAGACUCCUACGGGAGGCAGCAGUGGGGAAUAUUGGACAAUGGGCGCAAGCCUGAUCCAGCCAUAGCGCGUGGGUGAAGAAGGCCUUCGGGUUGUAAAGCCCUUUUGUUGGGAAAGAAAAGCAGCAGGUUAAUACCCCGCUGUUCUGACGGUACCCAAAGAAUAAGCACCGGCUAACUUCGUG
rnacentral:rRNA from 1 species